rnacentral:rRNA from 1 species
GGACUUGUCCUCUGUUGAAGCUUCGGCAGAAACUUGGCAAGUUAGUGGCGGACGGGUGAGUAACGCGUGGGUAACCUGCCUCACACAGGGGGGAUAACACUUAGAAAUAGGUGCUAAUACCGCAUAAGCGCACAGCUUCGCAUGAAGCAGUGUGAAAAACUCCCGGUGGUGUGAGAUGGACCCGCGUCUGAUUAGCUAGUUGGUGAGGUAAACGGCCCACCAAGGCAACGAUCAGUAGCCGGCCUGAGAGGGUGAACGGCCACAUUGGGACUGAGACACGGCCCAAACUCCUACGGGAGGCAGCAGUGGGGAAUAUUGCACAAUGGGGGAAACCCUGAUGCAGCGACGCCGCGUGAGUGAAGAAGUAUUUCGGUAUGUAAAGCUCUAUCAGCAGGGAAGAAAUGACGGUACCUGACUAAGAAGCUCCGGCUAAAUACGUG